rnacentral:rRNA from 1 species
AUGGAGUCGCAGGCUCAGAGCAGCAAGGGCGAUUCCAGCAAGUCACCAAUGCCGCACGGUGGCGAGGGCGAUGAACCUGGCAAGGAUGAUUCCAGCAAGUCGCCAAUGCUGCACCGCGGCAAGGGCGAUGAACCCAGCAAGGCGCCGCCCACGCCUCAGAUGCUUCCCAUCACAAGGCCACCCAAGCCCGGCACAAGGGGGCGGCGCAUAACGCUGCUCACCAACCACUUCAAAGCCUCCUGGAAGCCAGCGCAUGACUUCUUUUACCACUAUCACGUAGAUCUCAAGUACGCAGACGGUCAACCCGCUGCUGGGGAACGCGUGGGGAGGAAAGUGAUGAGGCAGCUUUACGAGACCUACGCCUCUGACCUCGCAGGCAAGCAAUUCGCCUACGACGGCGAGACGGGCCUCUACACCGCUGGGCCUCUUCCUUUUACCACCAAUGUGUUUGAGGUUAUCCUGGUUGAUGCUUCAUCCCGAAGGAUUGCAGCAACGAGCGGGAGCCAUGGAGGAGAUGGCAGCCCAGGGCCAAGUGACAACAAGAGAAUGAAAACAGAAGCACACUCCAAAAUUUUCAAGGUGGAGAUAACCUUCGCGGCAAAGGUUCGGAUGAACAAUUCCUCACAGGAUGCUCUUCGGGUUCUCGACAUCAUUCUGAGGCAGCACUCUGCAAAACAGAAUUGCCUUUUAGUCCGACAGUCUUUUUUCCGUGGAGAUUCCCGUUACUUGGAGUUGGGUGGCGGUGUUCGCGGUUGUCAGGGUUUUUAUUCUAGCUUUCGACCCACUCUCAGUGGGCUCUCACUCAAUGUUGAUUUAACCACCACGAUGGUAGUGAGACCCGGGCCUGUGAUUGACUUUCUACUCUUCAACCAGGAUGUGAAGGACACUUCCAGAAUUGACUGGCGCAAAGCCAAACGGGCACUGAACAAAUUAAGGAUCGAGACCAUUCACACGAAGGCAGAAUUUAUGAUUACUGGAUUGACCGAAAACAAUUGCAAUGAGCAGACUUUCCCACAAAAGCAAAAGGAUGGCAACACUGUGGAUGUAACUGUCUAUGAUCACUUCAUGAAUCGUUGGUCUAUGAAGAUGGAAAAGUCUGCUAAUUUGCCCUGUCUAAUUGCGGGGAAGCCAAUGCGCCCAACAUACCUCCCGCUGGAGGUUUGCAUUCUACUGCCAUUACAAAGGUAUAAAAAGUCACUGUCAACGUUGCAAAGGUCAAAGCUGGUGGAGGGAUCCAGGCAGAGGCCGGAUCAAAGGAUGUUGAGCUUAUCUGGUGCGUUGCGUGCCAAUAAUUAUAAUUCCGAUCCAAUGCUGAGGGAAUGCGGCAUUGCGAUAGAUCCAGAGUUUACUCAAGUCGAGGGUAGAGUCCUUCAGGCACCACAGUUAAACUCUGCAGAUGGUAGAGAACUUCGUACACCUAAUGGGCGGUGGAACUUCAAUAAUGACAGGUUCAUUCAACCCAUAAAAGUGAAGAUGUGGGGAGUUGUUAAUUUUUCUGCACGAUAUAAUGUUGAAGAUCUUGUCAGCCGCCUUGUCCAAUCUGGUGCCAAGAAGGGAAUUGAAAUGGCCAAAUGUGGCGCUGUAAUUGAGGAGAGUCAUCAAACGAGACGGGAGCCUCCGACAAAAAGGGUAGAGGCUAUGUUUGAGCAGAUAAAAGCAAAGCUAAAAAGGAAACCAGACUUUCUCUUUCUCCUGUGUGUUCUUCCUGAGAAAAACUCUGACAUCUAUGGACCGUGGAAGCGUGAAUGCCUUGUGAAACAUGGUUUCUUUACGCAAUGCUUGGUUCCUCCUGCCAAUAUCAAAGAUCAGUACCUCACAAAUGUGCUGCUAAAGAUAAAUGCAAAGCUUGGCGGGUUGAAUUCAUUGCUAAAAAAGGAAACAAUCCGUGCUAUUCCUCACGUGUCGAGGGUACCAACCAUCAUCUUUGGUAUGGAUGUUUCCCAUGGUUCACCAGGACAAAAUGUACCAUCAGUUGCUGCAGUGGUUAGUUCAUUGAAGUGGCCAAUCAUGUCGAAGUACAGAGCUUCUGUGUGCACUCAGUCACCCAGGCUGGAAAUGAUUGAUACCUUGUUUAAGCCAGUUGGAGAUGAUGAUCAUGGCCUCAUUAAGGAUUCACUAGUUGACUUCCUCAGAAACAACGAUGGUCAGAGGCCGGAACAAAUUAUCAUUUUCAGGGAUGGCGUUAGUGAGAGCCAGUUCAAUCAGGCACUGAACGAGGAGCUAGCUCAGAUCAUGGAGGCAUGCAAGUUUUUUGGUGGCAAGCAUUUUAAUGGUAACUGGUUCCCCAAGUUCACAUUGAUAGUUGCACAGAAGAAUCAUCACACGAGAUUUUUCUCGCGAAAUGGACAGAGACCUAAGUGA